rnacentral:rRNA from 1 species
GAUGAACGCUGGCGGCGUGCCUAAUACAUGCAAGUCGAGCGAACGGACGAGAAGCUUGCUUCUCUGAUGUUAGCGGCGGACGGGUGAGUAACACGUGGAUAACCUACCUAUAAGACUGGGAUAACUUCGGGAAACCGGAGCUAAUACCGGAUAAUAUUUUGAACCGCAUGGUUCAAAAGUGAAAGACGGUCUUGCUGUCACGUAUAGAUGGAUCCGCGCUGCAUUAGCUAGUUGGUAAGGUAACGGCUUACCAAGGCAACGAUGCAUAGCCGACCUGAGAGGGUGAUCGGCCACACUGGAACUGAGACACGGUCCAGACUCCUACGGGAGGCAGCAGUAGGGAAUCUUCCGCAAAGGGCGAAAGCCUGACGGAGCAACGCCGCGUGAGUGAUGAAGGUCUUCGGAUCGUAAAACUCUGUUAUUAGGGAAGAACAUAUGUGUAAGUAACUGUGCACAUCUUGACGGUACCUAAUCAGAAAGCCACGGCUAACUACGUG